rnacentral:rRNA from 1 species
GUGUCAGCCGCCGCGGUAAUACGUAGGUGGCAAGCGUUGUCCGGAAUUAUUGGGCGUAAAGCGCGCGCAGGUGGUUUCUUAAGUCUGAUGUGAAAGCCCACGGCUUAACCGUGGAGGGUCAUUGGAAACUGGGAGACUUGAGUGCAGAAGAGGAAAGUGGAAUUCCAAGUGUAGCGGUGAAAUGCGUAGAGAUUUGGAGGAACACCAGUGGCGAAGGCGACUUUCUGGUCUGCAACUGACGCUGAGGCGCGAAAGCAUGGGGAGCAAACAGGAUUAGAUACCCUGGUAGUCCACGCCGUAAACGAUGAAUGCUAGGUGUUAGGGGGGUCCAACCCCUUAGUGCUGAAGUCAACACAUUAAGCAUUCCGCCUGGGGAGUACGACCGCAAGGUUGAAACUUAAAGGAAUUGACGG